rnacentral:rRNA from 1 species
CCUACGGGCGGCUGCAGUGGGGAAUAUUGCACAAUGGGGGAAACCCUGAUGCAGCGACGCCGCGUGAGUGAAGAAGUAUCUCGGUACGUAAAGCUCUAUCAGCAGGGAAGAAAAUGACGGUACCUGACUAAGAAGCCCCGGCUAACUACGUGCCAGCAGCCGCGGUAAUACGUAGGGGGCAAGCGUUAUCCGGAUUUACUGGGUGUAAAGGGGGCGUAGACGGCAGCACAAGUCUGGAGUGAAAUCCCGGGGCUUAACCCCGGAACUGCUUUGGACACUGUGCGGCUGGAGUGCAGGAGGGGUAAGCGGAAUGCCUUGUGUAGCGGUGAAAUGCGUAGAUAUAAGGAAGAACACCAGUGGCGAAGGCGGAUUACUGGACGAUAACUGACGGUGAGGCGCGAAAGCGUGGGGAGCAAACAGGAUUAGAUACCCGAGUAGUC